AUUGUAAUUAUUUUAUGAUUAAGCAUAAUGAUUUAAUUGAUGUGUUUGAUGGUUAUUAGGCCGUUUUUGCGAAUUGAUAAUCUCGGUUGAAGCCUCGAUUAAGGGGCCGGUAUGUUACGGCCUAAAUGUUAGUUUUAUGUUGAAUUUAUUGUUUAGUUUCAUUUGUGGUAAUUUUGUUAAGAUUCCGGAAAAUACGGUUAUCCGGUUUCCGGUUUUAGUAUAGACGAAUAUUAUGGGAUAGCGUUAUCCAAGCGCAGCACAUGUUUUGAGUAUGAGAAGAUUCGUUCGGACUAUCGUAGGAUACGAUACGUCAAUCUAUCUACGUAGAACUAUCACUGAGUCAAUACACCUGUACUAUACUUGUAUGUAGUUGAUGUCAAAGAUAAUAAACACAGAUGAAGCCAG